ensembl:lncRNA
AUGAAAAGCUUUAUGGAGCAGAGAGUCUGUCCUCCUAAAGUUCAAAUUUUCCAUGUGGUGGACAGUUUGAGAUGUGACUUUAGAUUGGAUCUCACUUCACUUCAGAAAGUACAUAUAAUGCAGAGAAGGCUAUAUCUUGUUCAAUCACAUGGAUAUAACAUUUUCUUCUGCGUCUUGUACUAUUGCAUGCUGCCGGCAUGCUGCUGGAACGGAGUCCGUGGAGACCAUCAAAUGACACAGGGCUACUUCCGGCAGGGCUCCGUUGGGAGAAGCCAGGGACAGCGGAGAAACGUGUUGGGCCCACAAUGGAACAAAGAAACAUCUAAACUAAGCUACACCUUUCUACAGUAUUCGGAUACCUUGUGGAUAUCAAUAACUUACAUUUUCAUUUUCUUUUUUGACAUCUCAUUUGACAAUGGCCUAAUUCCAAGCAAACUUUUAACAAGAAUUUCUGCAAGCCACUACAGUGUGCUCUAUAUGGAGGGAAAGGGAGCAAAUUUGCUUAUCCUGACAAAGUCCUUUUGAAGUAUAAGUUAUCUACCAUAAUCUUUCUUCGUGCAGUACAAUUGUCAACUUGUAUGCAGCUGCUUCUACUGUAGAAACAGGAUUUGACUUGCCUAAUAGAUGAUAUUUGUCAUAAGCCUGGAAAUGUUCAACCCUAUUAACCUUAGACUGAAUUUUGACCAUUGUUCACACCAAAAGAUGUAAGAUCUCUUAUUGUAAACAUGUAUCCAUUGGAAUAUGUGCACAUAUAUCAUGGCUGGAAUCCUGCAUCAGCUAUUUAGUUAAGUAAGCUUGAAAUAGACUAAUCUGUACCUAGAAUGACUCAUCCAUAACUGUUUCAUAGCCACAAAUACUUAGUCAUGACUGUGUCAUAUUGCUACAAUCUUACUUUACCAAGCAUCAACUUCAAAGGAAGAAGUGGGAUUCUACCAAUGUCAGGCUUUGCAGGGAGAAUGAGGAUGUUUGAGCCAGAAGAAGUUACUGGCUUGAGUAUGUUUAACUAAAUAAUAUGCUUAACUAAGGAUGCACUAUAACUUCCAUGGCACUGCUAUGGAAUCAUGAGAGUAAUCAUUUUAUAAGGCCUUUUACUUUCUCUUCUAAAGAGUGCUACUGCUGCCCCAGAAAACUAUAAAUCUCAGGAUUCUUUGGCAUUCAGCCAUAGCAGGUAAAUUUUUUGCCAAACUCCAUUAAUUAUAUAAUGUAGAGUCAGCCUAAGUUGCUGAUGCAGGAUUCUGAUCCACAUUCCUUUCCCCAUUUUGUGAGUCCAAUAAUACUGCACAUAAUUCAAACAUAAAGUAGUUUCUUCAAAAUACAGUAGAGUCUUGGUUAUCGGAACUCCACUUAUCUGACAGUCCAUAUUAUCCAAUGUGCUGGCUGCAUCUUACCACUCCCGGUGAGCACCCGGUGCUUGUAGAGGCCUGCUGUGCAUUGCUUAGAAACAGCUGUUAUUCUAGGCAGCAACGCACAGCAGGCCUCUCCAAGCCGGGUGCUUGCUGGGAGGGAAAAGUCUCAUCCUCUGGGAAAGCACCUGGCUCUUGGAGAGGCCUGCUGUGUAUUGCUGCCUAGAAAAAUAGCUUUUUUUUCUAGGCAGCAAUACACAGUGGGCCUCUCAAUGUGCCGGGUGCUUGUGGGGAGGGAUGGGAUGUGGCUGUGCAGACUUUUCUCUCCCAGCAAGCACAUACGCUUGGAAAGGCCCACUGCAUAUUGCUUCCUAGAAAAACAGCUGUUUCUCAGCAACAUACAGCUUUUUUAAAAUCCUUUCUGACUAUCCAACAUUUUCACUUAUCCAACAUUCUGCUGGCCUGUUUAUGUUGGAUAAGUGAGACUCUGCUGUACCAUUAUUGUAUCUCAAACUCUAAAAAAAGGAUUCAGUCAUUUUAAAAUUAGAAACUGGUAAUUACUUAAGGAUAUAUGCACCAAUCUGUAGAUCUUGAAAAUAAAAAAAGGUUCAUCAAAAAGUAGGUUAAUUGUACAUUAGAUCUCCUUCCAUAUAAUCAGAUAAAAACA